AAUAGAUACCCUGGUAGUCCACGCCGUAAACGAUGAGUGCUAAGUGUUGGAGGGUUUCCGCCCUUCAGUGCUGCAGCUAACGCAUUAAGCACUCCGCCUGGGGAGUACGGUCGCAAGACUGAAACUCAAAGGAAUUGACGGGGGCCCGCACAAGCGGUGGAGCAUGUGGUUUAAUUCGAAGCAACGCGAAGAACCUUACCAGGUCUUGACAUCCUCUGACAAUCCUAGAGAUAGGACGUUCCCUUCGGGGACAGAGUGACAGGUGGUGCAUGGUUGUCGUCAGCUCGUGUCGUGAGAUGUUGGGUUAAGUCCCGCAACGAGCGCAACCCUUGUCCUUAGUUGCCAGCAUUCAGUUGGGCACUCUAAGGAGACUGCCGGUGACAAACCGGAGGAAGGUGGGGAUGACGUCAAAUCAUCAUGCCCCUUAUGACCUGGGCUACACACGUGCUACAAUGGAUGGUACAAAGGGCUGCGAAACCGCGAGGUUGAGCCAAUCCCAUAAAGCCAUUCUCAGUUCGGAUUGUAGG
rnacentral:rRNA from 1 species